UGCCCCCGGCCCGGCCCCGCCCCGAGCGGCGGCGGCUCCGUGACCCCGGUGCCGUCCGGUGCGGCGGUGCCGGCAUGGCCGUGCCCUGGGCUCUGCCCGCGCCCCUCAGCCCGGCGCAGCUGAAGCGCCUGGAGCAGCACCGCUACAGCGCGGCCGGGCGCUCGCUGCUUGAGCCGUGGCUGCAGCCGUACUGGGGCUGGCUGGUGGAGCAGGUCCCGCUGGGGCUGGCGCCCAACGCCAUCACCAUGGGCGGCCUCCUGCUGAACUGCCUGACGGCGCUGCCGCUCAUCGCCUGCUGCCCCAGCGCCGCCGAGCAGGCACCUUCUUGGGCAUAUAUCCUGGGUGCAGUAGGACUUUUUAUCUACCAGUCUCUGGAUGCCAUUGAUGGGAAGCAAGCCAGAAGAACAAACAGUAGUUCUCCUCUAGGAGAACUCUUUGAUCAUGGUUGCGACUCCAUUUCCACAGUUUUUGUUGUCCUUGGAUCCUGCAUAGCAAUCCGACUAGGAACAAAUCCUGACUGGUUGUUUUUCUGUUGUUUUGUGGGACUGUUCAUGUUCUAUUCUGCUCACUGGCAGACAUAUGUAUCAGGCAUACUAAGGUUUGGAAAAAUUGAUGUAACUGAAGUUCAGAUAGCCAUAACAAUGCUGCUCUUGAUAUCUGCCUAUGCAGGAGCAGCAAUAUGGGACUACAAGGUCCCUUUGGUGGGCUUAGAACUGAAGUUCUUUGCAGUUAUUGGCAUCCUGUGUGGAACAGCACUUUCUUUUUUCAAUUACUUCCGUGUCAUCUUUGGUGGAGGGGUUGGAAAGAAUGGCUCUACAAUAGCAGGAACAAGUGUUCUUUCGCCAGGCCUGCACAUUGGACUACUUAUCACACUGGCCAUUAUGAUUUAUAAAAAGUCUACAACUCAGCUGUUUGAAAAACACGCUUGCCUGUAUGUCUUAACAUUUGGGAUUGUGAAUGCCAAAAUCUCACAGAAGUUGGUGGUGGCUCACAUGACAAAAAGUGAAAUCUCUCUUCAGGAUUCUGCAUUUAUUGGGCCAGGACUUCUGUUUUUGGACCAGUACUUCAACAGUUUUAUUGAUGAAUAUAUUGUUCUAUGGAUAGCAUUGUUCAUAUCCUUGUUUGAUAUGCUGAGAUAUGCCACUGGUGUGUGCCUACAGAUUGCUGCUCAUCUUCAUAUACAUGUCUUCAGAAUUUCAUCUCAUCAAGCUCCUGAACAGGUUCAAAACCAUAAUGACUGAUUAAAUAGGUCAAGGACAAGAGAAGAAGCAGUUAGGGGAAUGCUGAAUGAAGCAGCCCCUCUGUUUUUGGGAAGACAGAUUAAGCUCUUGAAGAAAACAGUUUUAUGAGAAAGUUCACCGUAUCCCAGACAUUACCAGAUGUUAGAAUUAGUAGAUAACAAAGUUCUGCAGAUGCUAUUGUGAUCAGUACUUUUGAACCAGCAUGUAUUUCAGACCUUCAAUACCACAUUUGAAAAUGUUGCCCUUUCCUGUUAGGUACAACUUGUUUCUCCAUUGAGCCAUCAGAAUAACAUGGACUGAAGAGACUUGCGAACAGUUGCCAUCUCCUGCUGUUGCUGUGACGAGAAAAUGAGAUAAUACUGAACAAAUGCCGUAUCAAUAUGAGUCCUUUGAAUUAAAUGAAUGUCAAAUGACUUU